AUGAUGAGACCCUGCCUCAAACAAAAAUAAAAAACAAAGCAAACAAAAUUUAGAAAACAGGGGACUAAGGAGAUCACCCAGCAUUUAAGAGCACUAGCUGUUCUUCCAAGGACCCUGGGCUUGAGUGUCAGUCCCAGUACCCACACGGUGGCUCACAGGUCCAGUGCUCAGAGUCCAGGGCUUGAGUGUAAGUCUCAGUACCCACACGGUGGCUCACAGGUCCAGUCCUAAGGACCCAGAGC